UACGUAGGGUGCGAGCGUUAAUCGGAAUUACUGGGCGUAAAGCGUGCGCAGGCGGUUUGCUAAGACAGGCGUGAAAUCCCCGGGCUUAACCUGGGAACGGCGCUUGUGACUGGCAGGCUAGAGUACGGCAGAGGGGGGUGGAAUUCCACGUGUAGCAGUGAAAUGCGUAGAGAUGUGGAGGAACACCAAUGGCGAAGGCAGCCCCCUGGGUCGAUACUGACGCUCAUGCACGAAAGCGUGGGGAGCAAACAGG
rnacentral:rRNA from 1 species